ACACGACUACAUUAAGAUACCCCCGUAGUCCUAGCCGUAAACGAUACUCGCUAGGUGUCGGCCACGGUGCGACCGUUGUCGGUGCCGUAGGGAAGCCGUGAAGCGAGCCACCUGGGAAGUACGGCCGCAAGGCUGAAACUUAAAGGAAUUGGCGGGGGAGCACAACAACGGGUGGAGCUUGCGGUUUAAUUGGAUUCAACGCCGGAAAUCUUACCGGGACCGACAGCAACAUGAAGGCCAAGCUGAAGACUUUGCCGGAUUAGCUG
rnacentral:rRNA from 1 species